rnacentral:rRNA from 2 species
UUAAGCGUGUAGGCUGGUUUUCCAGGCAAAUCCGGAAAAUCAAGGCUGAGGCGUGAUGACGAGGCACUACGGUGCUGAAGCAACAAAUGCCCUGCUUCCAGGAAAAGCCUCUAAGCAUCAGGUAACAUCAAAUCGUACCCCAAACCGACACAGGUGGUCAGGUAGAGAAUACCAAGGCGCUUGAGAGAACUCGGGUGAAGGAACUAGGCAAAAUGGUGCCGUAACUUCGGGAGAAGGCACGCUGAUAUGUAGGUGAAGCGACUUGCUCGUGGAGCUGAAAUCAGUCGAAGAUACCAGCUGGCUGCAACUGUUUAUUAAAAACACAGCACUGUGCAAACACGAAAGUGGACGUAUACGGUGUGACGCCUGCCCGGUGCCGGAAGGUUAAUUGAUGGGGUCAGCGCAAGCGAAGCUCUUGAUCGAAGCCCCGGUAAACGGCGGCCGUAACUAUAACGGUCCUAAGGUAGCGAAAUUCCUUGUCGGGUAAGUUCCGACCUGCACGAAUGGCGUAAUGAUGGCCAGGCUGUCUCCACCCGAGACUCAGUGAAAUUGAACUCGCUGUGAAGAUGCAGUGUACCCGCGGCAAGACGGAAAGACCCCGUGAACCUUUACUAUAGCUUGACACUGAACAUUGAGCCUUGAUGUGUAGGAUAGGUGGGAGGCUUAGAAGUGUGGACGCCAGUCUGCAUGGAGCCGACCUUGAAAUACCACCCUUUAAUGUUUGAUGUUCUAACGUUGACCCGUAAUCCGGGUUGCGGACAGUGUCUGGUGGGUAGUUUGACUGGGGCGGUCUCCUCCUAAAGAGUAACGGAGGAGCACGAAGGUUGGCUAAUCCUGGUCGGACAUCAGGAGGUUAGUGCAAUGGCAUAAGCCAGCUUGACUGCGAGCGUGACGGCGCGAGCAGGUGCGAAAGCAGGUCAUAGUGAUCCGGUGGUUCUGAAUGGAAGGGCCAUCGCUCAACGGAUAAAAGGUACUCCGGGGAUAACAGGCUGAUACCGCCCAAGAGUUCAUAUCGACGGCGGUGUUUGGCACCUCGAUGUCGGCUCAUCACAUCCUGGGGCUGAAGUAGGUCCCAAGGGUAUGGCUGUUCGCCAUUUAAAGUGGUACGCGAGCUGGGUUUAGAACGUCGUGAGACAGUUCGGUCCCUAUCUGCCGUGGGCGCUGGAGAACUGAGGGGGGCUGCUCCUAGUACGAGAGGACCGGAGUGGACGCAUCACUGGUGUUCGGGUUGUCAUGCCAAUGGCACUGCCCGGUAGCUAAAUGCGGAAGAGAUAAGUGCUGAAAGCAUCUAAGCACGAAACUUGCC